rnacentral:piRNA from 1 species
UUCUAAGAAUCGAUGGGACACAUUUAC